rnacentral:rRNA from 1 species
AGCGAACGCUGGCGGCAGGCUUAACACAUGCAAGUCGAGCGCCCCGCAAGGGGAGCGGCAGACGGGAGAGUAACACGUGGGAACAUACCUUUUGGUUCGGAACAACUGAGGGAAACUUCAGCUAAUACCGGAUAAGCCCUUACGGGGAAAGAUUUAUCGCCGAAAGAUUGGCCCGCGUCUGAUUAGCUAGUUGGUGAGGUAACGGCUCACCAAGGCGACGAUCAGUAGCUGGUCUGAGAGGAUGAUCAGCCUCACUGGGCCUGAGACACGGCCCAGACUCCUACGGGAGGCAGCAGUGGGGAAUAUUGGACAAUGGGCGCAAGCCUGAUCCAGCCAUGCCGCGUGAGUGAUGAAGGCCUUAGGGUUGUAAAGCUCUUUUGCCCGGGAAGAUAAUGACGGUACCGGGAGAAUAAGCCCCGGCUAACUUCGUGCCAGCCGCCGCCGUAACAC